GGCCUGGUGGUCUAGUAGUAUGAUUCCUUCUUAGGGUUCAAACAUUGUUUGAAGCAUUUGGAGGAGGUCCCGGGUUCAAUUCCCGGCCAGGCCC
rnacentral:tRNA from 1 species